ACAAUAUUCAUUUUAGGCUAUGAAUAUAGGGUAUCUAUGGAACUUAAUAAUGCUAUUAGUAUUGACUUUAUUCCACAUUUUCUUAAUCUCCUGUUGUAACACUAUAUUUUUGUGGUACAAUGCGUGACGUAUGAAGGCAGCAUUGUGUUUUUAAUAGUGCAUAAUCGUUAUAAAGGAUUGUACCAUUCAUUUCAUAUAAAAAAUCUGGUUUGAACAAGUUUGAACGUAAAGGUCUUGGCUCUGCUGAGUGCUGUAUAAGUCGUUGAGGGACCGAAAGAGUUAAUUUGUCUCUCUCUGUUGAAGGCUGCGUGGGCUGCGAGAUCAUUCGAGAGUGCAUUUUCAGCGUCCAAUCAGCUGUGCGGAGUCCACUCCGCAUUCAGCCAAUAGGGAGAAUGGGAGGCUCUAUCGAAUUUGAAUGAGGAGUGUAUCUUUCGGCGCCAUUUUCGAGUGAGCAGCGAUUGCCUCAGCAGCUGCGGAGAGAGGAUGCUGCGAAUAUAGAAAGCUGCCGCUGAGACGGGGGAGAAACCAAGCGCUCAAAAUUAAACUGCGCUUUUUAGAGAGGGGAAUCGCAAGAAUCAAUGGAAACACAGGUGGUGAACCUUCUCUCGUCUGCUUUAGUAGUGGACUGAAGACUUCAAUCUGAAGAAAAAUUAAUAUCAUCAUCUGAAAUUUGCGUGGUAGAUAAUAGUCUGUCGCUAUCUGUGAACAUGUGGUUUGGACCAGAAGCCUGGAGGAUGAAGACUAAUAACACAGAAGAUGAAAAGAGUUGGAAGUGGAGGGACUUGACUGCAGCUCUGGUGAUGCUGUAGCAGCACGGAAUGGUUUGUGGGUUACACUGAGAUGCAGACCAUACUGUGUUGCCGCAGUAAAGCCUGAAUAUACAACCUAGCGGUCACUUUGCACUUCUUCUACAGGUUGAAGCUGACUUGUUUGCUAUCACUCCUGGAUUUAGUCUUGACUUUCUAAAGUAAUGCCACGUAGACAAUCGUUUGGCUGAUUUUGCCUUUCUCCUCUGCUGGUCGCCUUACUGUAGCAGCACGUAAAUAUUGGAGUUAAGACUAGCUGAAGCCUCCAGUAUUGAUCGUGCUGCUGAAGCAAAGCUGACCGCUCACAAUCAGUGCAACCAACCACUACUCAGACCAGCCUGGUCGUGCCAAACUGACUGACAGUGAGCGAGUUCUUGAGAGACACAGGUACACUGUUUACACAGCGCUUUUGAGUUAACCUCCAACACUACCUUGCUUUAAUAGUUAAAUUGUGUUUUAAAAUAUUUUUACAUUUAACUGUCACCUCUGCAUACUUGGAAAAAUAAAAUUUAAAUUGUUUUUUGUCUGUGUUUUGAAAAUGACAUGCUGAACUAUUUUUUAACAGAAUGCCGUCCAAUAUAUUUUAAUUCACUUUACACUAAAGGUCUUGCUGAGACUGAAAAUCCCUUACGUGGUUUUAUAUAGGACCGCCAUCCACUAAGAAGAAAGCACCAGAUGGCCUGCGUGGCCUCGCUGCAAAUACUGGGCUGGCCGGCCUGUUGGUGAGCCACGACAGAAAGAUUGGACUGUAGUGGACACACCCUUGAAAUAUAACAAGUCAUUCGGUUUAUGAAGUCCAGAUAGAAUGAUAAUAUGUAUAUUCUUAUGUUCACAACAAUGCUGUUGCAUAUGAAAUGGUGUCCCGUAACAUGGC